rnacentral:rRNA from 1 species
UACGGAGGGUGCGAGCGUUAUCCGGAAUUACUGGGUUUAAAGGGUGCGUAGGCGGCCAUGUAAGUCAGGAGUGAAAGUUUGCGGCUCACCGUAAAAUUGACUUUUGAUACUGCAUGGCUGGAAUCAGGAUGAGGUCAGCGGAAUGUGGCAUGUAGCGGUGAAAUGCAUAGAUAUGCCAUAGAACACCAAUUGCGAAAGGCAGCUGGCUAGACCUGUAUUGACGCUGAGGCACGAAAGCGUGGGGAGCGAACAGGA